GAGUUUGAUCAUGGCUCAGAACGAACGCUGGCGGCAUGCCUAACACAUGCAAGUCGAACGAAGGCUUCGGCCUUAGUGGCGCACGGGUGCGUAACGCGUGGGAAUCUGCCCUUUGCUUCGGAAUAACAGUGGGAAACUACUGCUAAUACCGGAUGAUGUCUUCGGACCAAAGAUUUAUCGGCAAAGGGGAUGGAGCCCGCGUAGGAUUAGGUAGUUGGUGGGGUAAAGGCCUACCAAGCCGACGAUCCUUAGCUGGUCUGAGAGGAUGAUCAGCCACACUGGGACUGAGACACGGCCCAGACUCCUACGGGAGGCAGCAGUGGGGAAUAUUGGACAAUGGGGGGAACCCUGAGUCCAGCAAUGCCGCGGUGAGUGAUGAAGGCCUUAGGGUUGUAAAGCUCUUUUACCAGGAUGAUAAUGACAGUACCUGGAGAAUAAGCUCCGGCUAAC
rnacentral:rRNA from 1 species